CCUACGGGAGGCAGCAGUGGGGAAUAUUGGACAAUGGGGGGAACCCUGAUCCAGCCAUGCCGCGUGUGUGAAGAAGGCCCUCGGGUUGUAAAGCACUUUCAGUGAGGAAGAACGCCUGGUGGUUAAUACCCAUCAGGAAAGACAUCACUCACAGAAGAAGCACCGGCUAACUCCGUGCCAGCAGCCGCGGUAAUACGGAGGGUGCGAGCGUUAAUCGGAAUUACUGGGCGUAAAGCGCGCGUAGGUGGCUUGAUAAGCCGGUUGUGAAAGCCCCGGGCUCAACCUGGGAACGGCAUCCGGAACUGUCAAGCUAGAGUGCAGGAGAGGAAGGUAGAAUUCCCGGUGUAGCGGUGAAAUGCGUAGAGAUCGGGAGGAAUACCAGUGGCGAAGGCGGCCUUCUGGACUGACACUGAGACUGAGGUGCGAAAGCGUGGGUAGCAAACAGGAUUAGAUACCCGUGUAGUC
rnacentral:rRNA from 1 species